GGAAAUCUUGUAAGAUUUCUGUUGCUAUUUUUUCUAAUUAGGUGCAAUUUGGGUACUCGGUGCAAUUUGGGUACCCUUACGUUAGAUGAAUAUAUUACAUUGCUUAUUUUAGGCAUUGUAUCCUUUUUAACUUCUAUUCUUUCAAUGUAGAAAAUAUAAAUUGUUCCAUAAUUGAAGUGUUAAAAAUAUAUAUCACACAUAAAGCAUGUUCACAUUAAGCAUUAUUCUGAAUUUCAAAAAUUCCUGAUUUGAGGUGCCUAGGAAGGAUGCAAAUAAUAUAGAAUUAUUCUGUAAACAGGAAGAUGUAAUGCAUACUCAUAUGAAGCUAGAAAUAUUUAAUUUAAGGAAUCUCUGAUUUGUUGUUCCUGAGGAAAGUUCGAAAAAAUUUCAUGAAACUAACAGGUUGUGACAGACAGACAGACAGGUUGCAAACCAGUAUAUCCCUUCGUUUUAUAUGAGGCAAAAUGCCAUUUAAAAAUAAAGUAUUUGCUUUAUGAUUUUGGAAUUGCAAUGUGUUUUUCUUUAGUAAUUUGUAGUUCCUGAGGAAAAUGUAAAGAAAUGAAAAUUGACAGGUUGUGACAUGACAGAUAUAUAUAAACCUGUACAUACCUUUCCUUCAAUUUUUUAUGAUGCAUUACAAAACAGCAUUUGCUUGAUGAAUUUGGAAUUGUGAUGUCAGUUCCUAAACUUAGAUUUGAAAAAUAUAAACCUAACUGAUUAAAUAAACAAAGUUUCAGCUGAAUUUACACAGGACAAAUCCAUAUAGAGAGGACGAAAUGACAAUAUCAUGUUAAUUUACAAAGUUGAGGUAGAUUGUUUGAUGUCGGUGGGAUUACAUAAUCGUCAAGCUAAAUAUAUGAUGUCUUAGGCAAGAUAAGCAAUUUCAAGGCCAUUUUUAUUCAUUCAAAGAACUAUACUAGUACUCCUUAUAAAAAUAAUAAAGUAAUUAUACGAGGGUAGUAAUGCCCUUUACUGUUCGGCGUCAAACGGUAAUUUAAGGCUAACAUUAACGUCAAAUUGAUAAAAAUUUUACUGUGAUUCAUCAAAAUAUCCUUAUCCUGAGUUGUCAGAGGUCUCAAAUAAUUAUCGUUACUGUUAUUUUUGGAAAAUUGUUAACAUGAUUCGUCAAAAUUAUAAAUUUUUCAUCGUCAUAAAAGAAAGUGCAAAU
rnacentral:lncRNA from 1 species